rnacentral:rRNA from 1 species
GUACACUCCUACGGGAGGCAGCAGUGAGGAAUAUUGGACAAUGGGUGGAAGCCUGAUCCAGCCAUCCCGCGUGCAGGAAGACGGCCCUAUGGGUUGUAAACUGCUUUUAUCUGGGGAUAAACCUACUUACGUGUAAGUAGCUGAAGGUACCAGAAGAAUAAGCACCGGCUAACUCCGUGCCAGCAGCCGCGGUAAUACGGAGGGUGCAAGCGUUAUCCGGAUUUAUUGGGUUUAAAGGGUCCGUAGGCGGACUGAUAAGUCAGUGGUGAAAUCCGACAGCUUAACUGUCGAACUGCCAUUGAUACUGUUAGUCUUGAGUAAGGUUGAAGUGGCUGGAAUAAGUAGUGUAGCGGUGAAAUGCAUAGAUAUUACUUAGAACACCAAUUGCGAAGGCAGGUCACUAAGUCUUAACUGACGCUGAUGGACGAAAGCGUGGGGAGCGAACAGGAUUAGAAACCCCAGUAGUCCC